rnacentral:rRNA from 1 species
GAGGAAUAUUGGUCAAUGGACGGAAGUCUGAACCAGCCAAGUAGCGUGCAGGAUGACGGCCCUAUGGGUUGUAAACUGCUUUUGUAUGGGGAUAAAGUUAGGGACGUGUCCCUAUUUGCAGGUACCAUACGAAUAAGGACCGGCUAAUUCCGUGCCAGCAGCCGCGGUAAUACGGAAGGUUCGGGCGUUAUCCGGAUUUAUUGGGUUUAAAGGGAGCGUAGGCCGGAGAUUAAGUGUGUUGUGAAAUGUAGACGCUCAACGUCUGACUUGCAGCGCAUACUGGUUUCCUUGAGUACGCACAACGUUGGCGGAAUUCGUCGUGUAGCGGUGAAAUGCUUAGAUAUGACGAAGAACUCCGAUUGCGAAGGCAGCUGACGGGAGCGCAACUGACGCUUAAGCUCGAAGGUGCGGGUAUCGAACAGGAUUAGAUACCCUGGUAGUCCGCACAGUAAACGAUGGAUGCCCGCUGUUGGUACCUGGUAUCAGCGGCUAAGCGAAAGCAUUAAGCAUCCCACCUGGGGAGUACGCCGGCAACGGUG